UUGCAAGGGUCACCUUGUUUGGUAUGUAACUUUGCCAGUUCUCUCUGCUCAUUCGAGUGUUGUUGUUUGACUUAAAGAUUCAUACAGUUGUGAUAUCCUAACUUUUUACUUACAACUUCUGUUAUAAUUUUUGAGAGAUCAACAAUAUACGUACAUAUGUAAUUAUAACUAAGUAUAUUUAAUACAAAGAUCGUGUAGUUGUACUGUUGAAUGUUUAAUUGAUGGUGUUGUGUUGUGUUAGUUACAUUUGAAUAGUGCUAGGUGAAUGCUGCUGAAUUACAGAUAGACGAAAAUGGCAAAGUCGGCAAUGCCGUUUUUGGACUCCUCCCUGGGGGAUGUUGGUCAUCAGAUGUUCUAUGAGGAAGGAAUAAACCGCUGGCUGCCACAAGG